rnacentral:rRNA from 1 species
CCUACGGGAGGCAGCAGUGAGGAAUAUUGCGCAAUGGGCGAAAGCCUGACGCAGCGACGCCGCGUGGGGGAUGAAGGUCUUCGGAUUGUAAACCCCUUUCGGGUGGGAAGAUGGUCGUCGACAACGACGACGGACGGUACCACCAGAAGCAGCCACGGCUAACUUCGUGCCAGCAGCCGCGGUAAUACGAAGGUGGCAAGCGUUGUUCGGAUUUACUGGGCGUACAGGGAGCGUAGGUGGUUGGGUAAGCCCUUCGGGAAAUCUCCCGGCUUAACCGGGAAAGGUCGGAGGGGACUGCCUGGCUAGAGGACGGGAGAGGAGCGCGGAAUUCCCGGUGUAGCGGUGAAAUGCGUAGAGAUCGGGAGGAAGGCCGGUGGCGAAGGCGGCGCUCUGGAACGUUCCUGACACUGAGGCUCGAAAGCGUGGGGAGCAAACAGGAU